CCCCCUGUAGCUCAAUGGCAGAGCGAGCGGCUGUAGACCGCUAGGUUGUCGGUUCAACUCCGGCCGGGGGGA
rnacentral:tRNA from 1 species